ACGGGUGAGUAACACGUGGGAACGUGCCCUUUGGUUCGGAACAACUCAGGGAAACUUGAGCUAAUACCGGAUAAGCCCUUCGGGGGAAAGAUUUAUCGCCAUUGGAGCGGCCCGCGUAGGAUUAGCUAGUUGGUGGGGUAAAGGCCCACCAAGGCUACGAUCCUUAGCUGGUCUGAGAGGAUGAUCAGCCACAUUGGGACUGAGACACGGCCCAAACUCCUACGGGAGGCAGCAGUGGGGAAUCUUGCGCAAUGGGCGAAAGCCUGACGCAGCCAUGCCGCGUGAAUGAUGAAGGUCUUAGGAUUGUAAAAUUCUUUCACCGGGGACGAUAAUGACGGUACCCGGAGAAGAAGCCCCGGCUAACUUCGUGCCAGCAGCCGCGGUAAUACGAAGGGGGCUAGCGUUGCUCGGAAUUACUGGGCGUAAAGGGAGCGUAGGCGGAUAGUUUAGUCAGAGGUGAAAGCCCAGGGCUCAACCUUGGAAUUGCCUUUGAUACUGGCUAUCUUGAGUACGGAAGAGGUAUGUGGAACUCCGAGUGUAGAGGUGAAAUUCGUAGA
rnacentral:rRNA from 41 species